rnacentral:rRNA from 1 species
GUUAGGAAUCUUCCGCAAUGGACGGAAGUCUGACGGAGCGACGCCGCUUGGAGGAGGAAGCCCUUCGGGGUGUAAACUCCUGAACUGGGGACGAAAGCCCUGUGUAGGGGGAUGACGGUACCCAGGUAAUAGCGCCGGCCAACUCCGUGCCAGCAGCCGCGGUAAUACGGAGGGCGCGAGCGUUACCCGGAUUUACUGGGCGUAAAGGGCGUGUAGGCGGCCUGGGGCGUCCCAUGUGAAAGGCCACGGCUCAACCGUGGAGGAGCGUGGGAUACGCUCAGGCUAGAGGGUGGGAGAGGGUGGUGGAAUUCCCGGAGUAGCGGUGAAAUGCGCAGAUACCGGGAGGAACGCCGAUGGCGAAGGCAGCCACCUGGUCCACUUCUGACGCUGAGGCGCGAAAGCGUGGGGAGCAAACCGGAUUAGAAACCCUAGUAGUCC